AACGGUGCCUUAUCGCGACAUAACGCCCCCUAUCGCGACAUAACGGCCCCCUAUCGCGACAUAACGGCCCCCUAUCGCGACAUAAUGGCGCCCUAUCGCGACAUAACGGCCCCCUAUCACGACAUAAUGGCGCCCUGUCGCGACAUAACGCCCCCUAUCGCGACAUAACGGUGCCUUAUCGCGACAUAACCGCGCUCUAUCGCGAUAUAAUGGCGCCCUAUCGCGACAUAACGCCCCCUAUCGCGAUUCAGCCGCGCUCCGUUAGCAGCAGUCGUCGUCCGUUUCGCUGUAGGGGUCGCGGAGUCUCUGGCGGCCGACGACCCCCCCCGGGAACCCCCGCCCCCCCCGGUCCGUGACGUUCGGCAGCACGCCGGCCCGGCCGCAGGGGGGGGAUGGACCAUAGAACGGGAUUGAGGUGGGGGGGGGGGGCCGCGGUGGUCGGGGUGGGAGGGGGGAGGGUCCCGGAGAUCCGGGGCGGGGUUUCGGUAGACAACGCCGGGAGGAGGAGCCCGGGGGGGCAGAUCGAUUUAGU
rnacentral:lncRNA from 1 species